AGCGCCAGAGGGCGCUCAGUAUAAAAGUAGAGGUGAGCUCCAGUCUGACGUUGUUUGCUGUUGACACACCGCGCUUCCGGGUUGAGCUGUCUGUGCGCCGAGUACAGAAACGGACGGGCGUAUUUACCUCUACGUUGAUCGUGGGUGAGGUGGUUCCUUCAAAAAGUGCCAACAUUGAGCGUUCCCAUUUGGGUGCAAGUGUGGAGAGCUUGGCCUAAUUGGAAUUUCGACUGGUUGCCACACAUAACGCUGCUGCUUUGCCUGCACCAAGUCACUGCUUACUUAGUAGUUGCAAGAGAGAGACCGGCUGCCU